CCGCCAAAACCAAAGGUGACAUUACUAAAAUUACCACAACUCUAUUUUUGAUACAAUCAUGUUUACAAUGGUUCCUCCUGAAAAUAUGACUGAACAUGAUAAUGAACACAAUACUGAACAUGAUAAUGAACACAAUACUGAACAUGAUAAUGAUCACAAUACUGAACAUGAUAAUGAACACAAUACUGAACAUGAUCAUGAACACAAUACUGAACAUGAUAAUGAACACGAUACUGAACAUGAUAAUGAACACAAUACGUAACAUGAUAAUGAUCACAAUACUGAACAUGAUAAUGAACACAAUACUGAACAUGAUAAUGGACAUAAUACCAAAUGUGAUAAUGAACACAAUACUGAACAUGAUAAUGAACACGAUACUGAACACGAUAAUGGGCACAAUACUGAACAUGAUAAUGAACACAAUACUGAACAUGAUAAUGAACACGAUACUGAACACGAUACUGAACAUGAUAAUGAACACAAUACUGAACAUGAUAAUGAACACAAUAGUGAACAUGAUAAGGAACACGAUACUGAACAUGAUAAUGAACACAAUACUGAACAUGAUAAUGAACACGAUACUGAACACGAUAAUGAACACAAUACUGAACACAAUAAUGAACACGAUACUGAACACGAUAACGAACACGAUAAUUAACACAAUACUGAACACGAUACUGAACACAAUACUGAACACGAUAAUGAACACAAUGCGGAACAUGAUAAUGAACACAAUACUGAACACGAUAAUGAACACAAUACUGAACAUGAUAAUGAACACGAUACUGAACACAAUACUGAACACGAUAAUGAACACGAUACUGAACACAAUAAUGAACACAAUACUGAACACGAUAAUGAACACAAUACUGAACACGAUAAUGAACACGAUACUGAACACGAUACUGCACGAUAAUGAACACAAUACUGAACACGACAAUGAACACGAUAAUGAACACAAUACCGAACACAAUACUGAACACGAUACUGAACACGAUACUGAACACGAUAAUGAACACAAUACUGAGCACAAUACUGAACACGAUAAUGAACACAAUACUGACCACGAUAAUGAACACGAUACUGAACAUGAUAAUGAACACAAUACUGAACAUGAUAAUGAACACAAUACCGAACAUGAUAAUGAACACGAUACCGAACACGAUACCGAACACGAUAAUGAACACAAUACAGAACACGAUAAUGAACACAAUACAGAACACGAUACUGAACACGAUAAUGAACACAAUACUGAACACGAUAACGAACACAAUACUGAACAUGAUAAUGAACACAAUACUGAACACGAUAAUGAACACGAUACUGAACACGAUACUGAACAUGAUAAUGAACAUGAUAAGGAACACGAUAAUGAACACAAUACCGAACACGAUACUGAACACGAUACUGAACACGAUACUGAACACGAUAAUGAACACAAUACUGAACACAAUAAUGAACACGAUACUGAACACGAUACUGAACACGAUACUGAACACGGUACUGAACACGAUACUGAACACGAUACCGAAUCCUCAACAAAAACAAAAGUGUAUGUUUAACGAUGGAGAAUUGAGGGAGAGCACACACUGUACUGUACUGUAGAUUCGGUUGGCGCUAGCUCUGGGGUUGUUUGUGUGUUCCACUCAUGCGUAAACAGAAGUUGGCAUGGCACGACAGUGGCUGCUGGGUUUCUCUGUCGCUCUCGUCUUAAAACAAACACAGAGGGGAGAAAUGGACUUUUAAUGGCAUCUGGGAGCCUCCUAAUCAAACUGAGGCCACAGAGAGCUGUGUUUAUGUAAAAAGCACCACACUCACUGUAAACUGUGUGAAUUUCCUGGCCUGAGACACUGAGACAGUCUCCCAGAGGACAGGAAGAAUAGAGAUAUUAACGUGGUGCCAACAGCCAACAUUUGUUUCAGAUUCAGCGUUAAAGGGAUAGUUCAUGUAAAAUACAUGUUUAGAUAUUUAUUUCUUUACCUUGAAAAGCAAUCCACAGUUUGGUUUUGUUAAACUAGCCACUGCAAA
ensembl:lncRNA